rnacentral:rRNA from 1 species
AUGAUCAAAGCGUUUGGGUUUACACAGACUUAUGGAGAAGCCUGUGUUUACAAGAAAGUGAGUGGGAGCUCUGUAGCAUUUCUCAUAUUAUAUGUGGAUGACAUACUAUUGAUGGGAAAUGAUAUAGAAUUCUUGGAAAGUAUAAAGGCCUACUUGAAUAAAUGUUUUUCAAUGAAGGACCUUGGAGAAGCUGCUUAUAUAUUAGGCAUCAAGAUCUAUAGAGAUAGAUCAAGACGCCUCAUUGGUCUUUCACAGAGUACAUACCUUGACAAGAUAUUGAAGAAGUUCAAUAUGGAUCAGUCCAAGAAGGGGUUCUUGCCUGUAUUGCAAGGUGUGCAAUUGAGCACGGCUCAAUGCCCGACCACGGCAGAAGAUAGAGAAAAGAUGAGUGUCAUCCCCUAUGCCUCGGCCAUAGGGUCUAUUAUGUAUGUCAUGCUGUGUACCAGACCCGAUGUAAACCUUGUUGUAAGUUUGGUAGGAAGGUACCAAAGUAAUCCCGGCAUGGAACACUGGACAGUGGUCAAGAAUAUCCUGAAGUACCUGAAAAGGACUAAGGAUAUGUUUCUCGUGUAUGGAGGUGACGAAGAGCUCGUCGUAAAGGGUUACGUCGAUGCUAGCUUCGACACAAAUCUGGAUGACUCUAAGUCACAAACCGGAUACGUGUAUAUUUUGAAUGGAGGGGCAGUAAGCUGGUGCAGUUGCAAGCAAAGCGUCGUGGCGGGAUCUACAUGUGAAGCGGAGUACAUGGCGGCCUCAGAGGCAGCACAAGAAGCAAUCUGGAUGAAGGAGUUCAUUACCGACCUAGGGGUGAUUCCCAAUGCGUCGGGCCCGAUGACUCUCUUCUGUGACAACACUGGAGUUAUUGCCCUUGCCAAGGAGCCCAGGUUUCACAGGAAGACCAGGCAUAUCAAGCGUCGCUUCAACUCCAUUCGUGAAAGUGUUCAAAAUGGAGACAUAGAUAUUUGUAAAGUACAUACGGACCUGAAUGUAGCAGAUCCGUUGACUAAACCUCUCCCUAGAGCAAAACAUGAUCAACACCAGAACUCUAUGGGUGUUCGAUUCAUCACAAUGUAA